rnacentral:rRNA from 1 species
UACGUAGGGUGUGAGCGUUGUCCGGAAUUACUGGGCGUAAAGAGCUCGUAGGUGGUUUGUUAAGUCUGAUGUGAAAGCCCUGGGCUCAACCUGGGAAUUGCAUUGGAUACUGGCAGGCUAGAGUGCGGUAGAGGAUGGCGGAAUUCCCGGUGUAGCAGUGAAAUGCGUAGAGAUCGGGAGGAACAUCUGUGGCGAAGGCGGCCAUCUGGACCAGCACUGACACUGAGGCACGAAAGCGUGGGGAGCAAACAGG